rnacentral:lncRNA from 10 species
AAAGAGAAAGAAUUCUAUGUGAGGAAAACGCUCUAGAAGAGGGAGCUGAUUAAUUAGUUAUAUAAUGGUAAGAAUGUACACCUCAAGGGUGGAUGGUAAAGGUCAGCCUUUAAGCCUCAAUGGCGGUGUGGUUGUAGGUGGGGUGGGGGUGGAGGCCCCGAAGACAGGCAGACUACCACAGUAGCCCCGAUGGAAGCAGUGAGAAUGAACUGGAAGGAGCGGCU